rnacentral:rRNA from 1 species
UGAGGAAUCUUGCGCAAUGGGGGAAACCCUGACGCAGCAACGCCGCGUGAGUGAGGAAGGUCUUCGGAUCGUAAAGCUCUGUCAGUUGGAAAGAAAUGUCUGAGAGUCAAUACCUUUCAGGCUUGACGGUACCAACAGAGGAAGCACCGGCUAACUCCGUGCCAGCAGCCGCGGUAAUACGGGGGGUGCAAGCGUUGUUCGGAAUUAUUGGGCGUAAAGAGCGUGUAGGCGGCCGGAUAUGUCAGAUGUGAAAGCCCCGGGCUUAACAGGGGAAGUGCAUUGGAAACUGUGCGACUCGAGUAGGGGAGAGGGAAGUGGAAUUCCUGGGGGAGAGGUGAAAUGCGUAGAUAUAAGGAGGACCACCGGUGGCGA